rnacentral:rRNA from 1 species
GAUGAACGCUGGCGGCGUGCCUAAUACAUGCAAGUCGAGCGAACGGACGAGAAGCUUGCUUCUCUGAUGUUAGCGGCGGACGGGUGAGUAACACGUGGAUAACCUACCUAUAAGACUGGGAUAACUUCGGGAAACCGGAGCUAAUACCGGAUAAUAUUUUGAACCGCAUGGUUCAAAAGUGAAAGACGGUCUUGCUGUCACUUAUAGAUGGAUCCGCGCUGCAUUAGCUAGUUGGUAAGGUAACGGCUUACCAAGGCAACGAUGCAUAGCCGACCUGAGAGGGUGAUCGGCCACACUGGAACUGAGACACGGUCCAGACUCCUACGGGAGGCAGCAGUAGGGAAUCUUCCGCAAUGGGCGAAAGCCUGACGGAGCAACGCCGCGUGAGUGAUGAAGGUCUUCGGAUCGUAAAACUCUGUUAUUAGGGAAGAACAUAUGUGUAAGUAACUGUGCACAUCUUGACGGUACCUAAUCAGAAAGCCACGGCUAACUAUGU